CGGGGUGCACCAGGCGUGAAAACUUUACAAUGCGGGAAACCGCGAUAAGGGGACCCCGAGUGCCAGCACUUAGUGCUGGCUGUCCAGCUGUUCAAAUAACAGUUGUUAGCAAGGGCCGGGCAAGACCGGUUCCAGCCGCCGCGGUAACACCGGCGGCCCGAGUGGUAGCCGUUAUUAUUGGGUUUAAAGGGUCCGUAGCCGGCCUAUUAAGUCUCUUGGGAAAUCUGGCGAGUCAAUCGUCAGGUGUCCCAGAGAUACUGGUAGGCUUGGGACCGGGAGAGGUGGGAGGUACUCCAGGGGUAGGGGUGGAAUCUCGUAAUCCUUGGGGGACCUCCGAUGGCGAAGGCAUCCCACCAGAACGGGUCCGACGGUGAGGGACGAAAGCUGGGGGCACGAACCGGAUUAGAUACCCGGGUAGUCCCAGCCGUUAACGAUGCUCCCUAGGUGUCAGGUGCGGUGCGACCGCAUCUGGUGCCGCAGUGAAAACUUGAAGCGAGUCACCUGGGAAGUACGGUCGCAAGGCUGAAACUUAAAGGAAUCGGCGGGGAGCAC
rnacentral:rRNA from 1 species